GGAUGGAUCAUUAAAAACAAAUGAACCCCUAAAUUCUUUUUUUCUUGAAAGAGGAAAAAGAGGUAGGGGGUAUUAACCUUAGUGAAUUUCAUAAAGUCAUUAACUUUUAAUAACCUUUUUUUUAACUCUUAUGUCUUAUACUCUUUUUUUUUUUUUUGAAGUAUUUUGGAGGGGUGAUGGUGGUGUCUUUCUGUUUGAACGAGGUGUUCGUUCUUUAAACAAACACCCUAAUUCUUUCUGAUUAUAAACACACUCUCUCUCUUUUAAAAAACGAAAAAAAAAAAAAACAAAAAAUCAUAUUACAAUUUAUAGCGGUGGAUGUCUCGGCUACUUCAUCGAUGAAGAGCGCAGCAAAGAGCGAUAUUUAUUGUGAAUUGCAGAAUUACGCGAAUCAUCAAAACCUUGAACGCAACCUGCACCUAGAGGUAACCCCUCUAGGUACACUUGUUUGAGUGUCGAUUAAAUAAUAUCUUUUUCAUAUUUUAUAUAAUAUGGAAAAGGACUUGAUAGUACGGCUUCUUUUUAAGCUGUUCUAUUUAAAAAUAAGUACAAGGUAGACUUUGUUAAAACACAAUAAUACUUUUGGUCAAACUUGAAGUUUUUUUUUAUCGAAACUAAUCCUUUGACUGAACACCUUUGUGAAUUACUUUCAUCUCUAUUUCUGUAAAAAAAAGAGUUCUAAAGUGUUCUGUUGUUUGAGAGGCACUUUUUUUUUAAAAAAAAAAAUAAAUACAUUCUCCUUCUAAUUUUAACACCUUCGACCUCAAAUCAAGUGUGACUACGCGCUGAAUUUAAGCAUAUAAAUAAGCGCAGGAAAAGAAACUAACCAGGAUUCCCUCAGUAAAUGCGAUUGAAAAGGGAAAAGCUCAGACCGAAUCUAACACCUUUGGUGUUCGAAAUGUAGUCUUUGAAUCGUCUUCCGAAUUUGUUGGAUUACCAAGUCAACUGGAAUGUUGUGCCAAAGAGGGUGAUAGCCCCGUAGGUUUUCCUAAACGAAUUCAUUCGUGUUGACGCGUUUUAGAGUCGGACUAUUUGGGAGUAUAGUCCUAAGUGGGAGGUAAAUUCCUUCUAAAGCUAAAUACCUGGAAGUAGACCGAUAGCGAACAAGUACCGUGAGGGAAAGAUGCAAAGAACUCUGAAAAGAGAGUUAAAAGUACCUGAAACCGAUAUAAAGGAAACGAUCCUUGCCACAUAGAAAAAACUUUAGUGAUUCUGGUUCAAAUAGUAAAAUUUGUGGGUUUAAUUGAGUUUAUCGAAGGGUAGACCAACUUGAGCUUAUCGAUUUUUCUCUUGGGCUUUAUUUCAUUCAAGUUAUCAUCAAUAUGUAUGGAGGAUGAAGUAGAAUGAAUUGGAGGAGGUAACUGGGGAGACUCAGUGAAUACUCUUGAUUAAAGAUACUUUAUCUCAUCUAUAGAGGAUACAAUGAAACGCUUGCGAAGUAGUUGGCUCAACGUGGGUAUUGGUUGUUGGUUACUACAUGUAGUUUCUGAUGAUCAGUUUCCUUCACCUGGGUCAUCUCUUUCAGUUUUCAUCAUGAUAUUGAAUUGGUGGUACUGAUCGACCCGUCUUGAAACACGGACCAAGGAGUCUAACGUAUGUGCAAGUCAAUGGGUGACAAACCUAAUGGCGUAAUGAAAGUAAAAAUAUAUUUUGAUAGGAAACUGAGAUUACGAAUCAAAGUUGCACUGUCAACCGAUCCAAUUAUCAUCGAUAAUAGAUUUGAGUUUGAGCAUAUCCGUUAGGACCCGAAAGAUGGUGAACUAUGCCUGCAUAGGGUGAAGUCAGAAGAAAUUCUGGUGGAGGCUCGUAGCGAUACUGACGUGCAAAUCGUUCGUCAAAUGUGGGUAUAGCGGCGAAAGACUAAUCGAACCGUCUAGUAGCUGGUUUCCGC
rnacentral:misc_RNA from 1 species